rnacentral:rRNA from 1 species
UGGAUCCAGACUUUGAUUCUGGCUCAGGAUGAACGCUAGCUGCAGGCUUAACACAUGCAAGUCGAGGGGAAACGACGUUGGAAGCUUGCUUCCGAUGGGCGUCGACCGGCGCACGGGUGAGUAACGCGUAUCCAACCUGCCCACCACUUGGGAAUAACCUUGCGAAAGUAAGACUAAUGCCCAAUGAGAUUGAGUGCAGACAUCUAAUCUCAAUUAAAGAUUCAUCGGUGAUGGAUGGGGAUGCGUCCGAUUAGCUUGUUGGCGGGGUAACGGCCCACCAAGGCAACGAUCGGUAGGGGUUCUGAGAGGAAGGUCCCCCACAUUGGAACUGAGACACGGUCCAAACUCCUACGGGAGGCAGCAGUGAGGAAUAUUGGUCAAUGGGCGAGAGCCUGAACCAGCCAAGUAGCGUGCAGGAUGACGGCCCUAUGGGUUGUAAACUGCUUUUAUAAGGGAAUAAAGUGAGAGUCGUGACUCUUUUUGCAUGUACCUUAUGAAUAAGGACCGGCUAAUUCCGUGCCAGCAGCCGCGGUAAUACGGAAGGUCCGGGCGUUAUCCGGAUUUAUUGGGUUUAAAGGGAGCGUAGGCCGCAGGUUAAGCGUGUUGUGAGAUGUAGGGGCUCAACCUCUGCACUGCAGCGCGAACUGGCUUGCUUGAGUACGCACAACGUGGGCGGAAUUCGUGGUGUAGCGGUGAAAUGCUUAGAUAUCACGAAGAACUCCGAUUGCGAAGGCAGCUCACGGGAGCGCAACUGACGCUGAAGCUCGAAAGUGCGGGUAUCGAACAGGAUUAGAUACCCUGGUAGUCCGCACGGUAAACGAUGGAUGCCCGCUGUUGGCUUGAAUUAGUCAGCGGCCAAGCGAAAGCAUUAAGCAUCCCACCUGGGGAGUACGCCGGCAACGGUGCAACUCAAAGGAAUUGACGGA